AUGCAGAUUACUGGUAAGGUGAAGUGGUUCAACGAAUCCAAGGGGUUCGGCUUCAUCACCCCCGACGACGGCAGCAAGGACGUCUUCGUCCACUUCACCGCAAUCGCUGGCAACGGCUUCAAGACCCUCGCCGAGGGCCAGCGUGUCGAAUUCGAAAUUCAAGACGGCCAAAAAGGCCCGUCCGCCGUCAAUGUCAAGGCCCUAGAGCUAGAGGAGGAUAAGAGCAUUUCGAGCAAAUUAUAG
rnacentral:rRNA from 1 species